CCAAAAUUGAAAAUUUUGGUCCAUUUCUUCCUUUCCUCAAAUAGUGAAAGAGAGACAUUACACUCCCCUGAUCCGAUUCUCAAAGGCCGGCGAUGGAGCUGCCAUGAUGAUCAUUGUCGAUCCCGGUCCGUCGCUCGUCGUCCAGAAAUGUCCCCAAUCAUCGGUAAAGCCGUCGAUCGAGAGGACUCGGAGGUGUGGCCAGAGUGCACGAGAUGUGCUGCCAUGAAACUCGGACACGGGUUGACCUCAUGCGGUGCUGGUGACUGCUGGAACAAGGAUGGAUGAGCUAGGGUUUGAAGAACGGGUCACUGGGAUUUGUUUGUACUUAGGCCACCAUUUGUAAAAUGUUGGGCUUGAGCCUGCAAAACAAAUGAAAAAAGAUGAAAUAUAAAUAUGAAUAUUAUAUAA